UAGAAAGGAUGCUCCUAGCGCUCACCAAAGGACCAUCAGCACUGUAGACACCAUAAGUACUGCGUAGACACCAUAAGUACUGCAGACUCAAUGAACCACCGCUGCUGGGCUAGGAUCUCGCCGUCUGCUAUCCACCCUGGACCUACGACCAGGUUCCAGGUUCCAGUAGGUGAAUCCCUUCCUUCUGUAGAGCGAAGCAGGAUCAGGAACAAGAGCUCUUACAAGAGCUCAGUAGCUAAGGG